GGAGGUAGUGACAAUAAAUCACAAUGCGGAACUAUUAGUUUUGCAAUUGGAUUGAGAACAAUGUACAAAUGUUAUCGAUAAACAAUUGGAGGGCAAGUCUGGUGCCAGCAGCCGCGGUAAUUCCAGCUCCAAUAGCGUAUAUUAACGUUGUUGCAGUUAAAAAGCUCGUAGUAGAAUUGAAGUGAACUUGGGUUGAUGUGAUCUUCGGAUGACAUGAAUCAAAGUUGACUCUUUCCAAAGUCAAUACAUUGGUAUUCAUUUAUCUUUGUAUUGUGUUUGGUCAUUUACUGUGAGAAAAUUAGAGUGUUCAAAGCAGACGUUUGUUUGAAUACAUUAGCAUGGAAUAAUCAUAUAUGGCUUUCAUGUUGAUUUGAUUGGUUUGAAUAUGGAAGCAAGAUUAAAAGGGACAGUUGGGGGUAUUCAUAUUCAAUAGUCAGAGGUGAAAUUCUGGGAUUUAUGGAAGAUGAACAAGUGCGAAAGCA
rnacentral:rRNA from 1 species